rnacentral:lncRNA from 1 species
AUUCAUGCAAGGUCCACCAUUAGGCUUAUUGAUUACUAGUUAUUGCCCCUUGCGCUCUUCCUUGCUUAACUGUGUCUGUGGAUUCCUCCUUUAUCUUUCACUUUUCUUUGUUCAAUUCCUCCACAAAAGUCCUUCAUUCUUUUUCCACUAACCUUUAUCAGUGCAAUUGAUUGUCUUCCGAUUUUCUAUCCGUUGAAUUACAAUGUUUACCAGAUUAAAACCAGCUUAAUUGUGUUAUUAUGUUGUGGAAAUAUUACAAUGCUUUUCGGCAAUUCAAUUCUCCGCGUCUUUGUCUAUCUGUGUUUGUGAUUAAAUUGCCGUUUCAUUUCAAAGCACCUUUUUAUCCCUUCUUUCAUCCUUAGCAAUUGUUUUGUUUUGUUUUGAAAGUAGCAGUUGAAUUAUACCUUUUUUCUUUUUCUUUUUCUUUUUUUUUUUUUGGGAAAAUUCUUCAAUGAAGGUAUAAAAAGCGAUUUGGGGUUCGAUACUCUGGCCCCUAUAGGAAAAAAACAGAGUUUGGUGUUAAAAGGUCUGGAAUAAUCUUGAGCUCUGAUUCAUCUUCCCAAUUUUGGGUUCUGAUAAGCAGGUGAAGUGCGUUUCAGAGGGAAAAAAAAAUGAUACCUUAAUUAUUCAGAGAUUGGGAAGGGUCAUGGUGUCUACUAUUUUUGUUUAAACCUUCUACCAUUUUAGCUUUUUGCAUAAUAUCAAAAAAAUAAAGGGAUAGGGGCAAGGGUAUACUUGGUUGAUUUAUUUUUUUAUUUUUGUUAGUGUAGCUAGCACUUAGGACCCUAAUAACGACAAGGGUGGUUGAAAGUUCAUUACUUUUGUUGGAAGCUUAUUGGUGGAUUUUGUUCUAAGUAUCUGAAGAUUAUGUGGAGGAUUGGGAUGUUCUUCAACGGGAUUUGAAAAUAAAGUUUUAUUGGGAUUUUGUGAAGGAUCCAAUAUCGGGAAAUAGGGACUGUGACUGUCUGCCUGGUCUUCUGUGCAUACUGAACAUCAUCAGGGCCCUAUGGAUGGGGGCCUGCAUGUCCAGUGAAAGCAGGAGCCCACUCCCUGGUUCUUCAACAGGAGUCAGGAAGACGAAGGGAUCCAAAAGGAGCCUGGCAUCUCGAAAUUCUUCCUUUGAUCAUAGGAGGGAGAAACAGCUGCAUAGAACAUCCGGAUGCCUGUUUUUAAAUGGAUCGAGCGAGAAAGCUUCAAUUUUUACCCAGAAAGGCAACAAAGGAAUAAAUCAAGAUACCAUGAUUGUCUGGGAGGUUGGUUGGCUCCUGCUCCCUUUUAUCUUCAUAAUUGUUUAAUUAGUUGCUUUCUAUAUUUCAUUUUUGUGCUUCAUAAAUUUUAACUUAUUCUCUGUAGUUGGUUUCUGCAGUAAGGGUGCUAAAUUAUUAAUAGUAAUAGAUGUAUCUUUUUCAUGGUAAUAACCUUACUGGACAUUUAUUUGUUCUUUACAAUUGUACACUCAUCUGGAAAGUCAUAUGCCUUCUUGUUUAAUUAAGAGCGCGCUCAAUCAAUUCGUUUCUUUGUUUUUCAAGAUUAUUUUAAUCCUUCUGUGGCUUCUUCAAGAGAAUCUUACUCACACUAUGAUUUUGUAUGUUAUUGCUUUUGCAACCUACGUUAUAUGAUUAGUUAGUGGAAGUUUUUGUGCACAUUCACGUAACUUACGAUCCUGUUAAAUGAUUAUUCUUACUCAUCUAAGAGGGCAUAUGACCCCUGAUAAAUGAACACACUAUCUUGCUAUAUCAAAAACUUUAUUGCCAUUAUCAGUCUCAAGUGGUUUGCAAGACAUUGGCAUUUAUUAAUUCAUUAGACAAUGUCCACAAUUUUGGUUCAUGUUGAAGUCAAAUUGACACUUUUGCUGUAAAAAGAAAAAAAAUUUGUACUUUUUAUCAGCUUGAAAUUAGCUGAAUUUAAGGAUAAAAGCUGAUAGUUUUUACCAAAAUAUGGUCUUGCAUGUUUUAAGGAAAGCUGUCAAGAAAGUUAGUAUGUAUUAGGUAAAGUGCUGUUGACUAUUUUUGCUGGAAACUUCUUGUAAUCUCUAUAUAUUUGAGAUGUAAUAUAUCAGCUCGUUUUUGGAGUGAACUUACUGAAAAAUAUACCAGCUUCCAUCCUCUUUGUUCAAAAAUCUUUCAGUGGUAUCAGAGCCCUCUCUGAUCUUGGAGGGGCCGUGAGAGUUGUGCAACAAAAUCUGGAGAGAAAACCAGCAAGCAACCCUUCACCAAACAGCCGAGUGAUCUGUGAGGGUGAGUAAUGGCUUCCAGCAAUUUUGCAGCACAGCUACCUUCUAUUUUUAUAGAAGAAAAUUAUGAUAUUUGGGCUGCUAAGAUGAAGGCCUACCUGAAGGCUUGUGAUCUGUGGGUAAUCACUGAAACAGGAAGUGAACCUCCACCCCUAAGAGCAAAUCCCACAAUUGCUCAACUAAAGCAACAUAGUGAGGAAGUUGCAAAGAAGUACAAGGCUCUUUCAUGCAUUCAAUCUGCUGUCUCUGAUGUAAUUUUCACAAGAAUCAUGACUUGUGAAACUGCUAAGGAAGCUUGGAACUGAUUAAAGGAGGAGUUCCAAGGCAAUGCAAAGACAAGGCAGAUGCAGGUCCUGAAUCUUAGAAGGGAAUUUGGAGCAUUGAAGAUGAAGGACACAGAAAGAGUGAAGGAGUUUUCUGACAGGCUACUGAAGGUGGUUAACCAAGUGAGACUGUUGGGGGGAAGAUCUACCUGACAAAAAGGUUGUGAAAAGGGUUUUGGUAAGCUUGCCUGAGAAGUUUGAGGCAAAGAUCUCCUCUCUUGAAGACUCAAGAGAUCUGUCCACGAUGUCUUUGUCAGAGCUAGUAAAUGCUCUCUAAGCUACUGAACAAAGAAGCUCAUCAGUCAGGAGGAGCAAACUGAAGGAGCUUUACUUGCCAAAGAAAAAAAUAAAGCUCAAUUAGGAUCUGGAGGAAAGAAACAACAAAAUGAGAAGAAAGAUGGUGCGAGCAGCAUAAGUGGAGGCAAAGAUGUAAAAAACUCUCCUUGUCCUCGUUGUAAAAAGAAGGAACAUUCUCCAAAAUGGUGUUGGUUCAGGCCUAGUGUUCAAUGUAGGGCUUGUAAACAAUUUGGUCAUGUUGAAAAGGUCUGUAAAAACAAGAAAGACCAGCAAACUCAGCAGCAAGCAAAAAUUGCAGAAAAUCAGCAUCAACAACAGCAGGAGGAACAUUUGUUCACUGCUGUCAACUACAAAAUCUGAAGCAAUGAUGGAACUUGGUUGCUGGAUAGUGGAUGCACUCAUCAUAUGAAUUCAAACUCCAGCAUCUUCACUGAAUUGAAUGAAUCAUACAGAUCAAGAGUCAAGGUUGGCAAUGGAGAACAUGUGGAGGUCAAAGGAAUUGGUAUGAUUGUUGUGGAGACUCCAACAGGUACUAAACACAUAUCUGAUGUACUUUAUGUACCUGACAUAGAUCAAAAUCUAGUUAGCGUAGGCCAAUUGCUAGAGAAAAUCUACACCUUAAUAUUUAAGAAUAAAGCUUGCACUAUACCAGAUGCAAAUGAUCUUGAAUUGAUGUCUGUUAUGAUGAAGAAUAGAAGCUUUCCUUUACAAUGGAAAAACAUCACCACUCGUGCAUUUUCCAGUACGGUGGUUGAGUCUUCCUUGUGGCACAAAAGAUUUGGCCAUGCAAACUUCACCUCACUUAAGCACUUGCAUAAACUUGAUCUAGUAAAGAACAUGC